AUUGAACGCUGGCGGCAGGCCUAACACAUGCAAGUCGAACGAGUGGCGGACGGGUGAGUAAUGUCUGGGAAACUGCCUGAUGGAGGGGGAUAACUACUGGAAACGGUAGCUAAUACCGCAUACCAUCGGAUGUGCCCAGAUGGGAGUAGCUAGUAGGUGGGGUAAAGGCUCACCUAGGCGACGAUCCCUAGCUGGUCUGAGAGGAUGACGAGCCACACUGGAACUGAGACACGGGCCAGACCCCUACGGGAGGCACCAGUGGGGAAUAUUGUGCGAUGAGCGCAAGCCUGAUGCAGCCAUGCCUCGUGUAUGAAGAAGGCCUUCGGGUUGGAAAGUACUUUCAGCGGGGAGGCGUUACCCGCAGAAGAAGCACCGGCUAACUCCGUGCCAGCAGCCGCGGUAAUAC
rnacentral:rRNA from 1 species